CAUCAAGAAAAAACAUGCAACAACAAAGCAUCCAAUUCUCUCAUUUCAAAGUUUGAAUAAAAAAUUGCAUGAAUAGUCCAUAGUUGUACAGAUCCAACGUGAAUAAAUCCUUGUCUAAUCCAACAUUCGCUGAAUAAACAAAAUAAAAAGGACAUGCGAGUGAUAGCACAGAGGGCAUCAUCGACAUUUGAGACACAAACAGAGGGCAAAACUCCUUCAAUAAGGUCACGUAUGCUCGCCUUUGAGCAAUGGCAUUCCCCAUCUAUGUAUCCUGGAUGUUGGGGAUCAUAAAGCAAUUAGAUGUGGACAUUCAAAGGCAUAUCCACAGGUGAUAUUGAAGUAUACAACAGUAGAUAAAUAAAGUCCUCUUGAGCUCAUUGUUCAUAUGUAUCAAACAAUACAUAAGCAAACUAACACUAAGUUACCAUGCUACAUUUUGAUGUUUUUUGUCCAGGCUUGGCCAAUAUGCUCUGUAUCUUGAAAGAAAACCUUUAUUUGUUUUCUGUAUCACAUCGUGUUCAACAUACCAGUAAUGCGUUGAUAAGGGUGAUGAAUACUGGAAAACAAAGAAUAGGUAAUCAUAGGAUGUGUUGAAGAAAUCGAGCACAUCUAUUCUUUAAAUUUUGAGCGGGAUAUAAACUUUCGAUAAAGUGAGCUAUAUAUGUCGAGAGUGGUGAUGACAAACAGGGCAUGUACAAUCUUAAAGGAGAAUGCACAUAUCAAUAACACAACACCGACAUUUAUACUCAGUAAACCAUAAGGACAAACACAAAACAAUUAAAGGAUGACAUUUGUAUGCAAGGCGAGCAAGGCCCGAGCAGUGCAUCUGAGGAUACAACAUAGGAAACGAUUUGUCUUACAUGUGAUCCGUUCAUUUAGUCAUUAAAGACUAAAGUCCUGCAGGUAGUAGGCUGAGACUUUGUUUUCUUGCUGAGCAUGUGAUAUGUUUCACUGGGAAAGCAACAAACGUGAGUAAUGCAUAUAGUUGCAUGAAUCCGUCGAAGGCCAACAAUGAACACAAGGAAAUCAUAACCAAUUAACAUAUGAACCACCUAUAUUUGGAUCCUCAUGAACCAAGGAUUAAACAGAGACCCAAAACCUCACCGAGGCUUAAACAUAGACCCAAAACCUCUGUCAAUCAUCACAAGCAGCAAACAAUAGGCCUGCCAAAAUAACCCCAAGCCAAAGAUAGGAGAUGCCUCAUCAAUAAAAAUUACAAAAAGGUAGGGGCUGCAUCAUCAAAUAUAUGACGUACCUGUCAGUGCCAUGGAACAGUACUACGAGUAUCAUGGUCCUGGACUCCUGGUCCUAUCAAAUCCCAGCAAAUACAAAAACAUCAAACCUCGGUCAUGGCCAUCAAACAUGGAGAAUAUCUGCACCAAAUGGGUGGAUACAACAUGGUUCUUACUUGCUUACUUUAAUAAGAAUGAAUCAUUAAACAUUAGUAGAACUGUUGCAUAUGAAGUACUGCAGAAAUAAGCACAUAAUAUUGGGGAAGCCCUUGUUUCUUUGCCACUACAUAACAGGAAGGACAUAAGAUAUUUUGAGAAUGGCAUAUUAAAAACUUCUCUAAAUUAUGGAGGCACAAUCAGGCAAGCUAGACCAGUCGUGAAAAUAGGAGAGAGCCCAGCUAUAUGAUAAAGGGAGUCAAGAGUUUCUUGGCAUACUCUACUAUCCAAAGAGCUUAUUUAUCAUCAUCACAACCAAAGUUAUUUAAUCUUUUGAUCUAAUAGCUUUAGAAAUAGCUGGAAGUGUGUUUCUUCUAAGGCGGUAAGCAAUUUGGACCCUCGC
rnacentral:lncRNA from 1 species